rnacentral:rRNA from 1 species
UAGGGAAUCUUCCACAAUGGACGUAAGUCUGAUGGAGCAACGCCGCGUGAGUGAAGAAGGGUUUCGGCUCGUAAAGCUCUGUUGUUAAAGAAGAACGUGGGUAAGAGUAACUGUUUACCCAGUGACGGUAUUUAACCAGAAAGCCACGGCUAACUACGCGCCAG